rnacentral:rRNA from 1 species
GAUCGCGGCGACGCGAGCGGUCCGCCGCCCGCGACGUCGUGAGAAGUCCACUGAACCUUAUCAUUUAGAGGAAGGAGAAGUCGUAACAAGGUUUCCGUAGGUGAACCUGCGGAAGGAUCAUUG